rnacentral:rRNA from 1 species
GGCACCUACGGGAGGCAGCAGUGGGGAAUAUUGCACAAUGGGGGAAACCCUGAUGCAGCAACGCCGCGUGAGUGAAGAAGUAUUUCGGUAUGUAAAGCUCUAUCAGCAGGGAAGAAGAAAGACGGUACCUGACUAAGAAGCCCCGGCUAACUACGUGCCAGCAGCCGCGGUAAUACGUAGGGGGCAAGCGUUAUCCGGAUUUACUGGGUGUAAAGGGAGCGUAGACGGCUGUGCAAGUCUGAAGGGAAAGCCCGUGGCUCAACCGCGGAACUGCUGUGGAAACUGUAAAGCGUGAGUUCUG